GAUUGUAGCUCGGUGGUAAAGUGCUUGCCUGGCAUAAGUGAGGCACUGUGUUGAUCCUCAGCACUGCAUAAAAACAAACAAAAAAACAAACAAACAAAUAAAUCAAAUAAAAGUAUUGUGUCCUCCUACAAUUAAAAAAUAUUUUAAAAUGCUAAUGGGCUAGGGGUAUAUCUCAUUGUUAGUACAUGCACUCAGCAUGUGUGAGGUCCUGGGCUCAAUCCCCAGCACCAAACA
rnacentral:tRNA from 1 species